UAACUGCCCUCCUUAAAUAAAGUCAGU
rnacentral:piRNA from 1 species